rnacentral:rRNA from 1 species
UACAGGGGGGGGCAAGCGUUGUUCGGAAUUACUGGGCGUAAAGGGCCAGUAGGCGGCCAACUAAGUCCGACGUGAAAUCCCCAAGCUUAACUUGGGAACUGCGUCGGAUACUGGAUGGCUUGAAUUCGGGAGAGGGAUGCAGAAUUCCAGGUGUAGCGGUGAAAUGCGUAGAUAUCUGGAGGAAUACCGGUGGCGAAGGCGGCAUCCUGGACCGACAUUGACGCUGAACGGCGAAAGCUAAGGGGAGCAAACGGG